rnacentral:tRNA from 1 species
GGUAAGAUGGCCGAGAGUUAGGUGGUAGGUUGUAGCCCUAAUAACAGAGGUUCAAGCCCUCUUCUUACCA